rnacentral:lncRNA from 1 species
AUGGACUCAAAAUAAAGUUUAAAAUAAACACUACAUAGAAUAAUAGUAAUAACAAUAAAUUAAUUAAUAAGCUGGUUAAUCGAAAAAAUAAAAAUGACUCAAUCACAAUUCGAACUGAAUUAAUGGGAAACAAAAUAAAAUAGAAAUUAACAAAAACAAUAUGCAGGGUUAAAACGCAAUUAAACAAAAUUAACAAGGAACAAAUGAAAUAAAUAAAAAAUAAAACGAGGGAUUGAAAAGCAAUGCGCGGAUUACAUGAAGGACUAAAAAGGGAAAUACCCCCUAUCUCAAAAUGCGGCACUUUGAUGCGGAUCAAAUCGAAACAAAAAUAAAAUAAAAUGUUAUAUUUAAAAAGGAAAUAAAAUAAAAAAAGUAUCGAAUUGAAAUACUAUUGCAAGGCGGAGG